rnacentral:rRNA from 1 species
UACGUAGGGUGCAAGCGUUGUCCGGAAUUAUUGGGCGUAAAGAGCUCGUAGGCGGUCUGUCGCGUCUGCUGUGAAAACCUAGGGCUUAACUCCGGGCCUGCAGUCGAUACGGGCUGGCUUGAGUGCGGUAGGGGAGACUGGAAUUCCUGGUGUAGCGGUGAAAUGCGCAGAUAUCAGGAGGAACACCGGUGGCGAAGGCGGGUCUCUGGGCCGUAACUGACGCUGAGGAGCGAAAGCGUGGGGAGCGAACAGG